GUGGAAUGAUGACCAAUAUGACGGAAAUGAAGAGUAUAAAACAUCAAAGAAGACAUACCAGUUCCUGCUUCAGCCUGCGUAGACAAACGUCCAUGUUCUUCUUCUUAAAGAACUCAGGCGUGGUCAUACAGGGGAGAUCUAUCUGGUGACCGACGUCUAUGACUCAGUGCCACACAGGCUAGUGCCAGAAACGUUAGCAAUAGGCACCAUGUUUCGAUCCGAGUGAGGGUCUUCAUCAGGACUACAUGAGACUUCAUGAGAGUCCCGGCAGGGUCAACACCAUCUGAAAGGUGCAGACCGGAGGCUGGAAUGGUGGAUGGUCCAGGAUGUCAAUGAAAAUGGAGGGCCUUGUGUUAGAAAGGCUGUACCAGUUCUCUAUUUCUGACCAUCUUUGAGUAACUAGCAACAUACCUGCAUGUAAAGAAACUUCAAAGGACAACUUCAGCUGAUGCACACAGGAUGCUUACCUGUAGAAGUAGGAAGGUAAGAAUUACAGGACAGUCAUUUGUCCAAAGCCUACACAGGUGAAAGGAAGAAAGCCAUUAAGAACAGUACUUUGACCGGGACUUGAACAUAGUACCUGCAUUGUUGGCAGUUUUUUGCUACCCUUCUCUAUUGUCAUUUACCAGAGAAGAACUAUUAAACAUUGGACAGUCCUCUACUCAACUUUUUUUUUUACCAGGUUCUCAUUGAACCACAGAGUUACGGAGAGAUUUUUACCGGAGGAGCAGCAGUUCUUCAUGGACUAUGGAACUUCUAUCUACUAUCUAUAUUCACGCUUCCCAGGUGGGGCAUAACAGUAAAAAUAUUUGAGAAGCACUUCAGAAUGACUGCACCUGAGGGGAUCUUACUGUGAAACUCUUGACGUUUGCAGACGACACCACCGUCAUUGGUCUCCUCCAGGAACAGCUGGUUCUCUGGUGCAGUCAGAAUCAUCUGGAACUGAACAUGCUCAAGACUACACCUGGUGAUGAUAAGUCCCCCCCUCCCUCACUACUGUGGACUCUUUCAUGUUCCUGGGAUCUACAAUCUUCACAGGACCUGAAGUCGACUUCCUAUGGACACAAUCAGAAAGAAGUCACAGCAGAGGAUGUACUUUCUGUGUCAGCUCAAGAAGUUCAACCGGGCCCAGGAAUUGCUGAUCACGUUUAGCACCUCCAUCGCCGUCUGGUUCGGAUCUGCAACCAAGCUGAACAGACACAGACCGCAACGGGCAAUCAGGACCGCGGAAAAGAUCAUUAGUAUCGACUUCCCCCCAAUCAAGGAUUUAUGCCGAUUCAGGGUCAGGAAACGGACCCCUCACACCCUGGUCAUAAGCUGUUCAACCUCCCCUUGCCAGGCGUUACCGAUCACUGUAACGCCUUUCCCCAGACCGGGGCAUGCGGCUGUAUGAAAAAUGGAAAAAAAUGAGGGGAAAAAAAUAUAUUUUUUGUUUUAAUGUGGUUUCUGCAGGAGGACAAACAUGACACAAACCUCACUAAUUGCUAUAAAGCACAGUUUUUAUUAAACAUGCUUCACUGAUUCGAGUAUUUGGCGAGAGCCGUUUUGUCCUACUAAAUUUGGCGGUCCUUGAACUCACCGUAGUUUGUUUACAUGCACAACUUUCUCCGACUUUCUAGGACGUGUUGUUUGCCACUUCUUUUUCCGUCUCAUUUUGUCCACCAAACUUUUAACGUUGUGCGUGAAUGCACAAAGGUGAGUUUUGUUGAUAUUAUUGACUUAUGUGGAGUGCUAAUCAGACAUAUUUGCUCCCUGCAUGACUGCAAGCUAAUCGAUGCUAACAUGCUAUUUAGGCUAGCUAUAUGCGCACAUUGCAUCAUUAUGCCUCAUUUGUAGCUAUAUUUAAGCUCAUGUAGUUUCCUUUAAGUCCUCUUAAUUCAAUUUAGAUCUCAUGACACACUAUUUGUAUAUAAUGUGGCUUUCAUUUUUUGCGGCUCCAGACAGAUUAGUUUUUGUAUUUUUGGUCCAAUACGGCUCUUUCAACAUUUUGGGUUGCCGACCCCUGCCCCAGACUAUCACUCUGAUGAACUCUGAACAGUCCCAGGGUGUCAGACCCGAGACUGUGAAACACCCUGGAACUCACCUGUCUGAAUAUCAUGUCAUGUUCACUUCAUCAUCCUAGUACAUCCUAGUUAUUAUCUAGGCACUUGUUUACAUUUGAGUACAUUGUUCAUAUUUAUUGUUUACAUUAGAGAGCACAGUCGACCAGGUCAGAAUCAUUUCGUGUUAAACAUGCCUUGCCAAGAGACUUAGACUAAGUGUUAGAAAAAUUGUGUGUAAAUUAUCAAAAAACUUCCCGCUCUCUGAGUUUCCAUUGAACAGAUGAGACCUGUCCUUGUUCCUUGGAAGAUUCCGCUGUGUAUGUUGGAAUGCGACGAGAGGGGUUUUCUAUUGUCCUCAAACACCUGGAAUCCAGGACAAGCCCAAGCCUGAGGCAUCUUCUUCUUUUGUCUUCAAUGUGACCGAAAACAAUGACUGUUUACAUACUCCCCAUUUCUGUUGAGGCAUGUGUUGUUGCGUAAACAUUGAAUAUCUAAAUAAAAGAGGAGACGAAAAACUUUUUCGUCAGAGCUUGGUGAAGGACUGUACGGAGUGUACAGUGGCCAUGUCUCUCCUAGGAUCCGAGUCCAAAUUUAA